rnacentral:rRNA from 1 species
UCUUCUUCGGAAGAGAGCGGCGGGCGGGUGAGUAACGCGUGGGUAACCUGCCUCAUACACAUGGAUAACAUACCGAAAGGUAUGCUAAUACAAGAUGAUAUAAGAGAUUCGCAUGAAUUUCUUAUCAAAGCUUUUGCGGUAUGAGAUGGACCCGCGUCUGAUUAGCUAGUUGGUAAGGCAAUGGCUUACCAAGGCUUCGAUCAGUAGCCGACCUGAGAGGGUGAUCGGCCACAUUGGAACUGAGACACGGUCCAAACUCC